AUUGAACGCUGGCGGCAUGCCUUACACAUGCAAGUCGAACGGCAGCAUGAUCUAGCUUGCUAGAUUGAUGGCGAGUGGCGAACGGGUGAGUAAUACAUCGGAACGUGCCCUGUAGUGGGGGAUAACUAGUCGAAAGAUUAGUUAAUACCGCAUACGACCUGAGGGUGAAAGUGGGGGACCGCAAGGCCUCAUGCUAUAGGAGCGGCCGAUGUCUGAUUAGCUAGUUGGUGAGGUAAAGGCUCACCAAGGCGACGAUCAGUAGCUGGUCUGAGAGGACGAUCAGCCACACUGGGACUGAGACACGGCCCAGACUCCUACGGGAGGCAGCAGUGGGGAAUGUUGGACAAUGGGUGCAACCCUGAUCCAGCAAUGCCGCGUGUGUGAAGAAGGCCUUCGGGUUGUAAAGCACUUUUGUCCGGAAAGAAAUCGCACUUACUAAUAUUAGGUGUGGAUGACGGUACCGGAAGAAUAAGGACCGGCUAACUACGUGCCAGCAGCCGCCGUAAUAC
rnacentral:rRNA from 1 species